ACGGAAGGCAGCAGUGGGGAAUAUUGCACAAUGGGCGAAAGCCUGAUGCAGCGACGCCGCGUGAGUGAAGAAGUAUCUCGGUAUGUAAAGCUCUAUCAGCAGGGAAGAAAAUGACGGUGCCUGACUAAGAAGCCCCGGCUAACUACGUGCCAGCAGCCGCGGUAAUACGUAGGGGGCAAGCGUUAUCCGGAUUUACUGGGUGUAAAGGGAGCGUAGACGGUUUGGCAAGUCUGAAGUGAAAUGCGGGGGCUCAACUCCUGAACUGCUUUGGAAACUGUCGAACUAGAGUGCAGGAGAGGUAAGUGGAAUUCCUAGUGUAGCGGUGAAAUGCGUAGAUAUUAGGAGGAACACCAGUGGCGAAGGCGGCUUACUGGACUGUAACUGACGUUGAGGCUCGAAAGCGUGGGGAGCAAACAGGAUUAGAUACCCUGGUA
rnacentral:rRNA from 1 species